rnacentral:lncRNA from 1 species
CGACGCUGCUUCCUUCCCCGGCGCCGGUGUCGGUGAGGCGGCGAGGAGGAGGCCGGCCGGCGCGGUCAGGUCUCGCGCGACGGGGCAUUUUCCCUCUACCUGCGGUCUCCGCCUCCUUCAGGAGUUCAGGUGAACGGUGGCAGGCAAGCCACGAUCAAAUAACCAUCCUGAAUGCAAGUGAGGCCAUUCCUUUCUCCAGCUCUUCUCCAAGCCAUGGGUAAUGUAAGAACCCUUUUCUUCUUGGUGCUACCCAAUGGUUUCGGUCUCCAAGGUAAAAGGUGGCACUAG